GAAAUAAAUCCAGAAGAUAAGAAGAGAGUACACUUCUUAGAAACUUUACUUGGAACAGAAGAGGGAGGUGAAGAAAUACCAAAAGAAAAACUUCAAAAGAAGAAACUGCUAAGAUCAGUCUUGGGUGGUGCAGCUGCUGUUGGUUUGUUAUUCAUGAUUUUGCAAUUAAGGAGGAAGGGCGGGGAAAAGGCUGCACAACCAAGUAUGGCAUCUAGUCAUAAUAUAGGAAAAGAGAAGAUUCAGAAAAAAUCUGACAGGAAAGUAAAGAGAAGUACUAAAAAGGGGGUUUAUCCAGCUGAAAAGAUUAAUUUAAAGUGAUUAAGAUUUUGGCCUCUUAUGUUCAAAUAGUGAUAAUGGUUGCAUAAGGGCGCACAGAAGAAUAUGUAUUUGAACCAAUGGUUUUAUCACCUGGCUUUGGAAGGCCCCUCUGUCCCUCUCUUGAAAUGAAUGCUAA